GACGGAGGGUGCAAGCGUUGUUCGGAUUGACUGGGCGUAAAGGGCGUGUAGGCGGUCGGCCAAGUCUGAUGUGAAAGCCCGAGGCUCAGCCUCGGAAGUGCGUCGGAAACUAGUCGGCUGGAGCGCGAUAGAGGAGGGUGGAAUUCCUGGUGUAGCGGGUGAAAUGCGUAGAUAUCAGGAGGAACACCGGCGGCGAAGGCGGCCCUCUGGAUCGUUGCUGACGCUGAUACGCGAAAGCGUGGGGAGCAAACAGG
rnacentral:rRNA from 1 species